ensembl:lncRNA
GCAGGCGCGCACACACUGUCACAGGGACCCUCGGGUCUGUCUCCCUGGACCGCAAAGUCGGCGCCUCACAGGCCCAGAAGUCGAAAAUGAGAAACCUGGGUGAAACACAGGUUAAGUGAACUCGCAGCCCUGGGAGGAAUAUCACGUGACUCACCUCUAAGGUCAACGUUCCUGCCAGACCACUAGCCUGGUGUGAGCGUCUACAACCCGAGUCUUAAGCCACACACAGCGCGAACAUACUAGAAGCACGGACCUCUUAAUCUUCCAGUGCGCCUCACCUUUGCGUCUCAUGCAGCCUUAUGAACGGACGAGCCAUUCUCGCGCGACUUGUACCAAAUUCUCAGGAAAGGAAAACUUUCGCGAGACUUGGAACUUGCGGCUCUUUUUGCAAUAGAGAGCCGCGUGGUGGCAAGCGCAGCCCUUUGGGUAAGCGGUGCUCAGCCGCUAAGUCAUGUCCCACUCUUUACGACUCCCAUGGACUGUAACCCACCAGGCUCCUCUGUCCAUGGGACUCCCCAGGCAAAACUACUGGAAUGGGUUGCCAUUUCCUCCUCCAGGGGAUCUUCCAGACCCAGGGAUUGAACCCUCGUCUCUUAUGUCUCCUGCAUUGGCAGACAGGUUCUUUACCACUAACGCCACCUGGGAAGCCCUUGGGAGUUGGACUGUGAAGAAAGCUGAUCGCCGAAGAAUUGAUGCUUUUGAACUGUGGUGUUGGAGCAGACUCUUGAGAGUCCCUUGGACUGCAAGGAGAUCCAGCCAGUCCAUUCUGAAGGAGAUCAGCCCUGGGAUUUCUUUGGAGGAAAUGAUGCUGAAGCUGAAACUCCAGUACUUUGGCCACCUCAUGCGAAGAGUUGACUCAUUGGAAAAGACUCUGAUCCUGGGAGGGAUAGGGGGCAGGAGGAGAAGGGGAUGACAGAGGAUGAGAUGGCUGGAUGGCAUCACUGACUCUAUGGACGUGAGUCUGGGUGAACUCCGGGAGUUGGUGAUGGACGGGAAGGCCUGGCGUGCUGUGAUUCAUGGGGUCACAAAGAGUCGGACACGACUGAGCGACUGAACUGAACUGAACUGAGUGUCUGAAUAAUAUUCCACGUUUUCUUUAUUCAUUCAUUUC